GGGCGGAUAGCUCAGCUGGGAGAGCGCAGCCCUUACAAGGCUGAGGUCACAGGUUCGAUCCCUGUUCCGCCUACCA
rnacentral:tRNA from 1 species